UGAACAGGGCAGUAGCCCCGCCCCCUCUAAACGCUAAGUCAAUCUAUCUCUACUGUAAAGUCUCGUUUUUCAUAAUGGUUAUGCAAUAAAUAUCACCAAGCACUGAACUUUCUAUUGUGAUUAUGACAUGUGGUUUGAAGUUUGGGGUUCUCUCAUGUUUGUGUUCUAGAGUGCAGUGAAGUAUGCAUAUAAUGUUUCUCUUAUCAUCUGUGAAACUGAUCAAGUUAUGCGCCGCAUUUUCUGUAUUCCUAAUGGAGUUGAACUUAAAUGUGUUGUUGGUUGUGAACUGUGAUUUCCUAAUGUAUGAAGCAUGCUCUGUUGGGUGUGAAAUGUAUAUACGAGAGUAGUGAACUGUAAAAUACCUUGAGAGUUUGCUUUGGUUGGAGAUUGCAGUUGAAUUGGACAAACA
rnacentral:lncRNA from 1 species